CUAAGCGUACACGGUGGAUGCCCUGGCAGUCAGAGGCGAUGAAGGACGUGCUAAUCUGCGAUAAGCGUCGGUAAGGUGAUAUGAACCGUUAUAACCGGCGAUUUCCGAAUGGGGAAACCCAGUGUGAUUCGUCACACUAUCAUUAACUGAAUCCAUAGGUUAAUGAGGCGAACCGGGGGAACUGAAACAUCUAAGUACCCCGAGGAAAAGAAAUCAACCGAGAUUCCCCCAGUAGCGGCGAGCGAACGGGGAGCAGCCCAGAGCCUGAAUCAGUGUGUGUGUUAGUGGAAGCGUCUGGAAAGGCGUGCGAUACAGGGUGACAGCCCCGUACACAAAAAUGCACAUACUGUGAGCUCGAUGAGUAGGGCGGGACACGUGGUAUCCUGUCUGAAUAUGGGGGGACCAUCCUCCAAGGCUAAAUACUCCUGACUGACCGAUAGUGAACCAGUACCGUGAGGGAAAGGCGAAAAGAACCCCGGCGAGGGGAGUGAAAAAGAACCUGAAACCGUGUACGUACAAGCAGUGGGAGCACAGAUCAAUCUGUGUGACUGCGUACCUUUUGUAUAAUGGGUCAGCGACUUAUAUUCUGUAGCAAGGUUAACCGAAUAGGGGAGCCGAAGGGAAACCGAGUCUUAACUGGGCGUUAAGUUGCAGGGUAUAGACCCGAAACCCGGUGAUCUAGCCAUGGGCAGGUUGAAGGUUGGGUAACACUAACUGGAGGACCGAACCGACUAAUGUUGAAAAAUUAGCGGAUGACUUGUGGCUGGGGGUGAAAGGCCAAUCAAACCGGGAGAUAGCUGGUUCUCCCCGAAAGCUAUUUAGGUAGCGCCUCGUGAAUUCAUCUCCGGGGGUAGAGCACUGUUUCGGCAAGGGGGUCAUCCCGACUUACCAACCCGAUGCAAACUGCGAAUACCGGAGAAUGUUAUCACGGGAGACACACGGCGGGUGCUAACGUCCGUCGUGAAGAGGGAAACAACCCAGACCGCCAGCUAAGGUCCCAAAGUCAUGGUUAAGUGGGAAACGAUGUGGGAAGGCCCAGACAGCCAGGAUGUUGGCUUAGAAGCAGCCAUCAUUUAAAGAAAGCGUAAUAGCUCACUGGUCGAGUCGGCCUGCGCGGAAGAUGUAACGGGGCUAAACCAUGCACCGAAGCUGCGGCAGCGA
rnacentral:rRNA from 1 species